rnacentral:rRNA from 1 species
GAGUUUGAUCUUGGCUCAGAUUGAACGCUGGCGGCAGGCCUAACACAUGCAAGUCGAGCGGAUGACGGGAGCUUGCUCCUUGAUUCAGCGGCGGACGGGUGAGUAAUGCCUGGGAAUCUGCCUGGUAGUGGGGGACAACGUUUCGAAAGGAACGCUAAUACCGCAUACGUCCUACGGGAGAAAGCAGGGGACCUUCGGGCCUUGCGCUAUCAGAUGAGCCUAGGUCGGAUUAGCUAGUUGGUGGGGUAAUGGCUCACCAAGGCGACGAUCCGUAACUGGUCUGAGAGGAUGAUCAGUCACACUGGAACUGAGACACGGUCCAGACUCCUACGGGAGGCAGCAGUGGGGAAUAUUGGACAAUGGGCGAAAGCCUGAUCCAGCCGUGCCGCGUGUGUGAAGAAGGUCUUCGGAUUGUAAAGCACUUUAAGUUGGGAGGAAGGGCAGUAAGGUUAAUACCUUGCUGUUUUGACGUUACCGACAGAAUAAGCACCGGCUAACUCUGU